rnacentral:lncRNA from 1 species
CAGGGUCGGUCCAGCCCUUCCGGAUGCCGAUCCCGGAGACCAGACUCCAGUCGCACAGGUUCCGGCUCCCUGCAACCCUAGGGCCUCCAGCAGCCGAGCUGGAGAAAGGUUCUGCUUUGCGCACGCGCAGCGGCGCGAAUUUCAGUGGGACCGGAAGUGCGGCUGGGUUUAGGUUCGGGGUCUGACAGGAGCAACUCGCGCUCCGCGGCUGGAGCUGGCUGCGAGAGCAGGGUCCCGCGUCGCCCUCCCGCCAUGGGCCUCCUGUCGGACCCCGUGCGCCGGCGCGCGCUCGCCCGUCUCGUGCUGCGCCUCAACGCGCCGCUCUGGUGAGGGUGGGCUGGGCUGGGGUCCCUGCGCUGCUCGCGCCCUUCUCCUUCGGUCCACGUCCCGCGGGGGAUGCGGGGACCCGGAGUCUAGGUUUCCAGGCCCCUCACACCUGCCCGUUCGGCCCCUGGUUUGGAGCUGGUGGCCACAGUCGGCGUCCCAGAUCACGCUAACGCUCCGGCUGCUCCCUCUGACCCCUCGCAGCGUGCUGAGCUACGUGGCGGGCAUCGCCUGGUUCUUGGCUCUGGCCUUCCCGCCGUUGACCCAGCGUACUUACAUGUCGGAGAACGCCAUGGGAUCCACCAUGGUGGAGGAGCAGUUUGUGGGCGGAGACCGUGCCCGGGGCUUUGCCCGCGAUUUCGCUGCCCACCGCAGGAAGUCGGGGUGAGCCGCAGAGCAGCGGGUAGGGGAAAAGUAGUGGUGGCCAAGGCCAGGGAGCUCCGUUCAGAGGCUGUCUUUGUGUCUCCAGGGCUCUACCAGUGGCCUGGCUGCAGCGGACGAUGCGUACAGUAGGGCUGGAGGUCUACACGCAGAGUUUCUCUCGGAAACUGCCCUUCCCGGAUGAGACCCACGAGCGCUAUGUAUUGAGGAAGGGUGGGGGUGAGGGUGCUUGGGAUAGAAAAGCGCUGUGAAGGGGUCACCUGGGGCCAAGAAUCCUAAUGGGAGGGAUGAUCUGGGGCCAGGGAAAUCCCUGCUUUGCAGAUUGUAGGGCCAAGGAAAGGUGGUGGUGGAGGCUUUGACUUUCUACAUACUAGGGUUGCUCUGAGGCUCCUUCACCAAUGCAUUGUACAGAUGGUAUCAGGCACCAACGUGUAUGGCAUCCUACGGGCCCCACGUGCUGCCAGCACCGAGUCUCUGGUGCUCACUGUACCCUGUAACUCUGACUCCACCAAUAGCCAGGCUGUUGGACUGCUGCUGGCACUUGCUGCCCAUUUCCGAGGUGAGACUCCAGGGCUGCUGCCCAGGGAGGGUUUGGCCAGUGCUUCAGUCCUGCUUACCUUAUGUCUGACCUCCAGGGCAGAUUUACUGGGCCAAAGAUAUCAUCUUUCUGGUGACAGAACAUGAUCUUCUGGGCACUGAGGCUUGGCUUGAAGCCUACCACGACGUUAAUGUAACUGGUAGGUGCUCUUGUCUUCUCCUGGUCUCUCUCGGGGUCAAUUGUUCUCACCAGUGUCUCCUCUGGUGUUUAUUUGCUUGCCCCUACAGGCAUGCAGUCAUCCCCAUUGCAGGGCCGGGCUGGAGCCAUUCAGGCAGCUGUGGCCCUGGAGUUGAGCAGUGAUGUGGUUACCAGCCUUGAUGUGACUGUGGAGGGUCUCAAUGGACAGCUGCCCAACCUUGACCUGCUCAACCUUUUCCAGACCUUCUGCCAGAAAGGGGGGCUGCUAUGCACACUUCAGGGCAAGGUUUGACCACUUGCUGAGGUAUAGGGCCUUUGGUGAGGGGUUUAUCUAAUCCUGUUCCCAUCCCUACUCUGCCCUCUCACCAUCCCUCCAAAGCUUCAGCUCCAGGAUUGGACAACGCUGGAUGGGCCAUUGCAGGGCCUGCAGACACUGCUGCUGAUGGUUCUGCGGCAGGCCUCUGGCCGCCCCCAUGGCCCUCAUGGCCUCUUUCUGCGGUACCGGGUAGAGGCCCUGACCCUUCGGGGCAUCAAUAGCUUCCGGCAGUACAAGUAUGACUUGGUGGCUGUUGGCAAGUAAGUAGCCUCUGAUUCCCUCUUUGCGUUCUCAGGGAAGUGUCCAACUGGUACACGGAGGGAGUGACUGACUUUGUCCUGCUAUGCACCUGACAGGGCUCUGGAGGGCAUGUUCCGAAAGCUCAACCACCUGCUGGAGCGCCUACACCAGUCAUUCUUCUUCUACCUGCUUCCUGCUCUAUCUCGCUUUGUCUCCAUUGGUCUCUACAUGCCUGCUGCUGGCUUCUUGCUCCUGGUCCUUGGUCUCAAGAUAUCCUCUGUCCCCCAACUAUUCACUCAUGGACAGCCUUGGAGCCCCUCAACUCUGCAUCAUCCUACUCUGGGAUUGGGGUGGGAAAGUCCUGGGUUCCCCACCUGGCAGAUCUCAUCACACUGUCAUUGAGGUCCUUGACUUGGGCCAUGCUCUGGAGCUGUGGAUGCAGUUGCAUGAAGCUGGAGUGGGCUCUGAAGAGGCUGGGGGUGCUCCUGGACCGAGUACCCAACUUCCCCCAGCACAGGUGAUGAUGCCCCUAUCUGCUGUUGGGUGGGCUUCUAGGAUCCUGAGUAGUGUCUUCUACUGCCACUCAACCUCAGCUGGAAUAGUGGUUUUCUGGCCCCAGGGCCUAUCUCAAGGUGCCCGUAUACUAUACCCUGCAGGGUGUGGGGCUGGCCUCGCUUGUAGCACCCCUGCUGAUCUCUCAGACCAUGGGCCUGGCCCUCUACAUCCUGCCUGUGUUGGGUCAACAUGUGGCCGCCCAACACUUCCCAGUGGCUGAGGCUGAGGCUGUGGUGCUGACACUGCUGGCAAUUUAUGCAGCUGGCCUGGCUCUUCCUCACAACACCCACCGGUGAGUGACUAGGCUUGGGCAGGUGGCACAGGGCCCCCCUGGACAUGUAGGCAGUUCUUGGGCUUCCUCUGAGCCUUUUGCCUUUUAGGGUAAUGAGCACACAGGCCUCAGACAGGGGAUGGAUGGCACUGAAACUGGUGGCUCUGAUCUACCUAGCACUACAGCUAGGUUGCAUCACCCUCACCAACUUCUCCCUGGGUUUCCUGCUAGCUGCCACCAUGGUACCUGCUGCUGCACUCACCAGACCCUAUGGGCCUCGGUAUGUAUUCAUCAGCCCCCACCUCCCCCAGUGCCUGUGCCCUUCACCCAGAGUCCUUGGUCAUUCUGUUCUCUGUCCCCACCAUCUGUGGAACAUACCCCGACGAUGCCUCUCCACCCAGGCCACUCUAUGCUGCCCUACUGGUGCUGACAAGCCCAGCAGCCAUGCUCCUGGGCAGCCUGUUCCUGUGGCGGGAGCUACAGGAGACACCGCUGUCACUUGCUGAGGGGUGGCAGCUUUUCCUCGUGGCACUGGCCCAGGGCGUGCUGGAGCACCACACCUAUGGUGCCUUGCUCUUCCCACUGCUCUCCUUGGGCCUGUACCCUUGUUGGCUGCUCUUCUGGAAUGUGCUCUUCUGGAAGUGAGGUCUGCUACCUGGGCACAAAGGCUGGGGCAGGGCUCUCCAAGCCCUCACCAUUUUUCCUCCUCCCUGGGAAAUAAACAAGUGUCUGUUUC